rnacentral:rRNA from 1 species
CGAUGGAAUCCGGAGCUUGCUCUGGCGGAUUAGUGGCGAACGGGUGAGUAACACGUGAGUAACCUGCCCUUGACUCUGGGAUAAGCGUUGGAAACGACGUCUAAUACCGGAUACGAGCUGGGAUCGCAUGAUCACUAGCUGGAAAGAACUUCGGUCAAGGAUGGACUCGCGGCCUAUCAGGUAGUUGGUGAGGUAAAGGCUCACCAAGCCGACGACGGGUAGCCGGCCUGAGAGGGUGACCGGCCACACUGGGACUGAGACACGGCCCAGACUCCUACGGGAGGCAGCAGUGGGGAAUAUUGCACAAUGGGCGAAAGCCUGAUGCAGCAACGCCGCGUGAGGGACGACGGCCUUCGGGUUGUAAACCUCUUUUAGCAGGGAAGAAGCGAAAGUGACGGUACCUGCAGAAAAAGCACCGGCUAACUACGUGCCAGCAGCCGCGGUAAUACGUAGGGUGCAAGCGUUGUCCGGAAUUAUUGGGCGUAAAGAGCUCGUAGGCGGUUUGUCGCGUCUGCUGUGAAAACCCGAGGCUCAACCUCGGGCCUGCAGUGGGUACGGGCAGACUAGAGUGCGGUAGGGGAGAUUGGAAUUCCUGGUGUAGCGGUGGAAUGCGCAGAUAUCACGAGGAACACCAAUGGCGAAAGCAGAUCUCUGGGCCGUAACUGACGCUGAGGAGCGAAAGCGUGGGGAGCGAACAGGAUUAGAUACCCUGGUAGUCCACGCCGUAAACGUUGGGAACUAGAUGUGGGGACC